GAAAAAAAUAGAAAUUUACAAAUUAUGAGUGAUUCCACGAAUAAUUUGCAAAAUGUAGCAUGUUCUUUGUAAUACAUUAUGUGAUUUUUGAGCAGAAAUUGUUGUGCAUUCUUAAUUCUGUAAGUUGACUGGCUUUGAAAUAUAGAUUCGAGGUAUAUUUAUUUCACUAUUUUAAUAAUAUAAUAUGGCGACUGUCGAGAUCCCGGAAGUUAAUGUUACUGGUCAACUUAUUCCCAUUCAAGAGCUUGACCGAGUGAAAAGUGCUGUUUGCUUAUUGAGAUCAACCACUAAAGAUCCAAGGUAAAAACAUUUGAAAAUCCUAAUUAUUUUAAUAGUUGUUCACACAAGCCGGAUUAGCAAGGCAAACCAGUUAGCCCUGACUGGAAAGUUUGGAAAUUGCAUACCUGAGAUUUUAAAAAU
rnacentral:lncRNA from 1 species